UACGUAGGUGGCAAGCGUUGUUCGGAAUUAUUGGGCGUAAAGGGCGCGUAGGCGGUUUGUUAAGUCGGCUGUGAAAGCCCGGGGCUCAACCCCGGAGGGUCAGCCGAUACUGGCAGACUAGAGUACGGAAGAGGUAGCUGGAAUUCCCGGUGUAGCGGUGAAUGCGUAGAUAUCGUGAGGAAGACCAGUGGCGAAGGCGAUUCUCUGGGCAAUUCCUGACACUGAGGCACGAAGGCCAGGGGAGCAAACGGG
rnacentral:rRNA from 1 species